rnacentral:rRNA from 1 species
GUGCCAGCAGCCGCGGUAAUACGGAGGGUGCAAGCGUUAUCCGGAUUCACUGGGUUUAAAGGGUGCGUAGGCGGGUAUGUAAGUCAGCGGUGAAAUCCCCGAGCUUAACUUGGGAACUGCCGUUGAUACUAUAUAUCUUGAAUGUCGUGGAGGUUAGCGGAAUAUGUCAUGUAGCGGUGAAAUGCUUAGAUAUGACAUAGAACACCCAUUGCGAAGGCAGCUAACUACGCGAAUAUUGACGCUGAGGCACGAAAGCGUGGGGAUCAAACAGGAUUAGAAACCCGAGUAGUCC